rnacentral:misc_RNA from 1 species
AAAUCUGUGCCGCCUGUUGGCUAGAUCAAAUGGAACUGACCCCAUGACUACACAAGGCGGUUCAAAGAACAGAUGAAAAUUGGAUGAGCAAUCCACACAAAAAGUUCAAUUUAUUGACGUGUAACUUAUCUAAUGCAUGAAUGUUGUGCUUGGUCUAGACGUACUUGGAUGUUUCCCCAUAUGACAACUGUAUAACGUUUACCAUCUCCCAAGAAGUUUGACAUAAUCUCAAGUUCUCACAAGAAUAAUGUCAAUUCAUUAACCUAAAA